CUGUGCUUUGGGCCGUCAUUAACACAUAUAAAGAGUUGCCCCUCCCCCCCCCAGUCAUGCAGUCUGCUGCUGCUGCUGCUGCUCCGUUCACCAUCACCGUUGGGGCAGCGCUCCUCCCAAUGAACGACUCGCGAGCAGGAGUGGUACUGGCUGCGUCUCCGCAGGGCCACUAUCAGCGGCAGACGCGUCCUGCCGCGACGUCGCCGUCCCCGCCCAUGUCCACGUGCCGCCGCCUGAGCUACGACAGUUCAAAGACGGGCAGCAACUCGCGAAGCCGCACGCGGGCGUCGCUGUCAUCCGUUGCGUCACCCCACUCGUUCUCCCACACGCUAUCAGAGGAGCAUCAGCAGCACCAUUUCUGGCAGAGAUGCGUGACCGUCACAGAGGUGGCCACCGUAACUGCUAGCCGCCGUUCCGCCGUCGCCGCUGCUCGCUCUGGCGUCGUUGUCGUCGCUAACGCCUGUGCGAAGCGGGACGACAGCUCGCUCGUUGCCGAGGCCCGCUCGCCAUCAAUCCGCAUAGGCCCAGCUGUGUUGCCGUCCUCAUUGGAAACCACAACAUCCUCUUCUGUGGUCGAUGCGCACGCGCAGGUGACCUCUAAGCCAGGCGGCGCGGCAGGCGCGGGUGAGCAGCAGUCUCACAAAGCAGCAGCAGCUGCUGCUACUGCGGCAGUGGCCGCAGCGACCUCCGCGGGCGCCUGUAAAGCAAACAGCGGCAACGAGGGCGUCUCCCCUUUCUCGCGUGUGCACAUACGCAACACACGGAGCAGCAAGACGACGACGGCAGGUGGCGGCAGCGCUUCGCCGCCCUCGAUCACGGUCGUUCAAGCAGCCGCAGCAGCCGUCGUCACGAAGCAUGGAACUCCUGUACGCGCGAACGGGCCAUCGUCGCCGUCCAUGCCGUCGCCCUUGUCCGCUGCCGUCUCUCCUCGAGCAGCAGCACCUCGGCCCCUGUCGACACGCCGCCACAGCGCUGGGACGACUACUCCAGGUAUCAGCAGUCUGCCAGUCGCUCAGCCGCAGCCACAGCGCGCCGCUCCUCCCCCUCAGCCACGCCGCAGCCGGUCCGCCAGCAGUGGAUUGCGUGGCGCCGGCACGAACUCCAGCAGCGUGCACUUUCAGCCAGCGCCGACGCUGCGCAACGUUGGUAUUGGUGGCCCUUCACCUUUCGCGGCAGAGCAGCUGGCCAUGCCUCGCCGACCGCAGCCGCGGCUGGCAGUCGCCCCCACCGGCGACGGUGCGAGUGUGGCGGGGUGUGCACAGAGUGGGCAGACUAACGCAAAGGUCGCCGCGCCGCCCCUGCAGCUCGUCCGCCCAGCAGACCUUUACCGCGGUGCCACCACGGCCACCGGAACAGCGACUGCUGGAGUCGGCGGCCCGGCCUCGACAGCGAUGGCCGCAUCCCUUCUGCCUGGUGCCGCUGCCGCGCAGGACCGCCUACAGCUCCCACGUCGGUCGAGGCUGGCACGCACCCCUUCCGCGACAUCAGUGCAGCAGCGUCGCCGCACUCCGUCCGCAGGCAGUUUCGGUGGUGGUGGCAGCGCCCGCAAAGCAGGGCCGGUCGCGUCCUCGUCACCGCUCAAGCGUCGCACAUCCGUCAGCUCCCACAGCGACGACGCGGUGGGCCCUGUGGGAGGAUCAGCCGCCCGUGUCGCGUCACGGCGGCCGCGCUCGAGCACGCCGUCGGGCACCCUCUCCGUCUACACGACGCGAGGAGCGAGUGGGGGCAGAAGCCCGCUGGGGCAUAGUGAGCCAUCGAGAGACGGCGCCGGCGCGCCGGCUCUCGUCGUUGCCGGCAGCGGCACCGACACCGGUACAGCGGCGCCUCGCAGGAGCGUCGUGCGCAGCGGCUCUGCCCCCGUGCAUCAGCGCCGUCGCGAGAGCAGCAGCAGCCGUACCAGCAGUGCGGUGCCGGGUAGCGUAACCGACCAAGCUCCCCGCAUUGCAGACAGAUUGCGUGUGCCGGCGGUGGCGCCGUCCUCCCUUGUGCGCUACUCCUCGGUGGCCAGCGUGCACCAACGACGGUCACAUGCCACCAUCACCACCAUUCCGGUCAGCAACGCAGCGGCGGCCGCCUCGACGUCAGUGGCGGAGUGGAUCAGCUCCAUGAGUACGUCGUCGGCUCCGCGCCGCAGUCACAGCCGCGACGGCACCAGCGGCACCGCCCGCAGCAGUGCUGCAGGAAAGAGCGUGCGGUCUUCGCUGCACACCGCAGCGGCGUCGGCGGCCGCCAAAACCCCCAGUAUGGGCACGGCCCCCACUGCCCGCCGCCCCAAUGUCGGUGCCACCCGGCCCACCAUCAGCAGCACCGCCGGCGCCGGUGGCCCCCGCGCGCGCCCUGUGGUGUCCACGACCGCAGGAGCAGCAACACCAGCCGCCGCAUCACGAGCAGCAGGCCCGCGUCACCUUGCCGAUCGCAAGCCGAGAGACGGCGGCAGCAGUAACACCGUGUCGGUGAGUCAGGCAUCGAUGAUCUCGAUGGAGGAGAGCAAGGCGUUCCUGCAGGACUUUCAGCGCAUGAAUGACCGCGAGCUGGCCUUGUUUGGAACACUGCUCGCGACGGUGGCCAGCGAGCAGCAGAACCGCCGCGGCCUCGGCAUCACUGGCGAUGCUACUCCGAGUGCGGACAAGGCGAACGCGACUCGCCUGGUAGGCAACGCCGCGGAUGAUAGGAAAGCUGACAUUGCACCUCCGACGGGAGUCGUAGCAUCGGCAGAAGACGUGACGGUGUGGACAUGCAAGCGUGUCAUCUCCUUACCCUCCGACCAGCAGCAGCAGCAGCCAGGGCAGACGUCAGACAUGCCGCCACCGACGACGCCGGGAGAACCGGCGGUGACGGCGCAGCCUGCCUUGCAUGCCAACGAGGAGCUUAUCGUGCUGGUACGUCGAUCGCGCAGCCAUAGCGCCGGCCUUCACGCUCCGCCACGAUCAUCAACGUCGGGGCCGGAAGCGCCGCCGUCGCCGAAGCAGCAGCAGAGGCAGAAGCCAGCAAAACCACUACUGCAGCCGGACCAACUCACUCAACGGGCUGACGGAACCGAAGAGAAAGGCGGCGGCCACGUCGCGGCGAGCCCGCAUGCCUUUGUGCGGUCUCCACUGCGUCAUCCAUACAGCCAGCAGCAAGCACGAUGCACCGUAACGGACGCGGCUGCAGGAGACCGCGGCAGUAGCGGUGCUGUUGUGCUACACCGUGCGUCUCGAAGCCCGUCGCCGACGCCCCCGUCAGCGGCGAUCGCUCGCGGCGAAAAAGAGAAUGGCCAGCAGGCGCGCUCACUCCACUCGGCCAGCAGCUCCCCUGUGCCUGCAUCUCCGCUCUCGACGGCGGCUGGUGCGCGAGCGCUACAGCAGCAGCAGCAAGUGGGCGCAUUGGCGAGUGCACGCGCGGACAGGAGCAGUAGUGGUAAGCUGCGGCCACGUGAGGCGACGGACGUCAAUACGUCCGCGAACCGCACCGCUGCCGGCGCGGCGCGGAAGGUCGCAGUGGAAACCAUGGCGACGCCGGCGCGCAAGCCACACAAGGCACCGCCAUCCAGCAGUGGAGCAGCGGCGGCUGCGACCGCCGGGGCGGUGGGACGGAGAGCGGUGCGGAAUCGCUCGUCCUCCAGUGCUGUCGGACGCGUCCGAGGAGGCAGUCGGCGUCGCUGUGGUGCCAACGAUGGCGUGCACACGCCGAGUUCCCUCCAAGAGCACCAACGGCAGCUUAGCGUUGAGAGCUACACAGACAUCAUGCGCUGCUACAGCCCUAAGCGGCUGGAGGGGUUGCACGACGGCAACGGCGGUAGCGGUUGCGACGCAACCUUGAAGGAGGAAAGAAUGUCCAUCGAUGAGGGCCCUCGCGCCGCUGGUGCCUCCGCGUCGUCGCUGUCGUCCGCAGUGUCGGAGGCAGCAGCGCCGCUGGCUGCACUCAAGAGGGCGAAGGAACUGGCCGCGGAGCUGGCCGCCGCUGCGCGGGCGAGGACAGUAUCAGCGGACAAACCCUCCGUAGGAAUGAUUCCGACCUCCUUCACGUCGCCAGCGACCUUCUCCUCGGUUGACUCGCCUACGAGCGGCAGUUUGAGCAUGGGCCGCGCGAGUGGGGGCUACGCUACCGGGGCAGCGUCGGAAAUAUCCAGCGUCCGCGUUACGGCCGCUCAGCUGCAGCUUCUCAUUGACAGCUCACGCAGCCAAGCCAACUAUGCGCGCUAUCAACCGCUUUAGCAACACGAAGAAGUGUGUGUGUGCGAGUGGCGGUGCUGCUCGUGUACCAGUGUGUGAGUCUCCUUUCUUGUGGUUGGCUGUUGCAGAGGACAGAUGCUGCUCCCUCUCGCCAGCGCUGUCUAGUUUCAUGUAGUCGUGAUGAUGAUGGGAAGGGGAGGGGAGAGGGGGCGAGGUGCUUCUGCCUCCUCGCAUGGCAUGUUUUAUGUCGUAGCUAAAGACAAGCCUACACACACGCACAUCUGUAUCCCCCCCUUCUUCUUCCUCUUCUUCCCCCUCCCCACCUACGCAGGGACGGUGUCAUGUUGGCCGGCAUAGUUGUUUUGAUUCCUGUUUUCUCCGGCGGCGUUGUUGCCUCCACUCCCUCUGGAUGGGGCACGACGACGAUGCCGAUGCAGUGCAAUGGAUGGGAUGCGUCGGAUCCUCUUUUUUGCGCAGGUGUGUGUGUGCGUUCUUUGUGGUCGUGGUUGCAUGUUUCUUCAUUCCUUUUCCGUUAGAUUCCUCCCUGCACAGCCUCCUCCUCUUCCACCACCAACACAGCACACAGCACACAUACACAUACAUGCACGUCUCCUUUCCUCGCAUUGCCCUGUCUCUGUGUGUCGAGCGUCCGCUCGGCUACGCUGUUGCUUGUUGUUCUUAUUCUUUCUAGCGUGCGGUGCGAUCUCUUUAGAUGUGUCCGUGGAAGACAAUAUGGUGAUGUUAAUCGUUGGCGUGUUCAAUCGCCCUCCCAUUCUAUCCCCACUCCCCAGUCACCACUCACUUGGAUCGUUAGACCUCGGAUCUUCCUCUACAAGUCACCGCCCCUCGCCACCCCCUCGUCCUCGUACUCGCCUGUCUACUUGCCCGCACGGAAGGGCCCGCAGACAAGGCCCGUCGCCAUGUGUCUUGCAUGCAUCUGCGCAUGCUCCCCUUCUACGCCGGUUACGGCGGGUCCACAGCACACAGCUGCCACCCAUCCACGCACUCCUGUUCGUCCGACGCGCGCGCCUCCGCAUCGAUGCGUGCGCACCUAUGCGCUAGUGAUGUCGUGGCGUGAUCCUCCCACAGCACUCGAUGUGUGCUCUCCUCUCUCUAUCUCGAACUCACCUCAACGACAACCCGCCCACAUAUGCAACGCACGCACGUGCGCAUACCGUCAUCACGCAACAACACUCAUGUGGACUACACAG
rnacentral:misc_RNA from 1 species